ensembl:lncRNA
AUGUCGGAGCGAGGCGUCCGAGGCGAGGCCGGGCCGGGCGGCGGCGCCUCGCCGGGGAGCGUGGGGCGGCCCGGCCGCCGCCGCCGCCGGGGGAGGACGCGAGGGCCGGCGGGCGGGCGGGAGGCGCCGCGGCGACGCCGCGCCGGGGGCGGCGGGCCCGGGCCGGCGGGGGGGUCCGCGGCGGCCGCGCGGCUCCUUCCUGCUCGGGCGGCGGCGGCGGCUGCUCCCGCGGCGGCGGGGGGCGCUGUCCGCGCGGCCCGGCGCCCUCCCCGCCUCUCAGGGCCCCCGCUGCCUCCCGGGCCGGCGCUGCGGGCCGGCCGCCGCCUCCGCCUUCCCUGUUCCUCAGCCGCCGCCGCCGCUGCUGCCGCCGCCUUGUUUAUCUCCAGCCACCGACUCCCCCUCAGCCCCCGCCGGCGCGUGAGGGGAGGCGAGCCCUGGAGUCGCCGCCGCCGCUUCGGAGCCGCCGCCGCCGCGGAGCGCGAACUCGCGAAGGGGGGGGUGCGGACGAAGCCAGCGGGCGACCCCGGCAGCCGAGCGACGUCCCCUCCUUCCUCUUCCUCCCCCACCCCCCCCUCCUCCCCAGUCAGCCUCGCUUCUCCUCCCUCCCCGGGCUCGCUCGCUCUGACAGCAAUGGCGGCCGCCGACCGCGGCUCGGCCCGCCAUUGGCUGGAGCCUUGUCACGUGACGGGCGCCGGCUGCUCGGGGGGGGAAAUGGAGGGGGCGGGGGAGGGGCCGGAGCGGCGGCCGCGGCUGUUCGCUGGUGGCGCUGCUGAGCCGAGUGCGGCUGGAUUCUCCGGCGGAGAGAGGGAGGGAGACGGAGACAGAGAGGGAGAGAAAGAAGUGCGGGCGGCGCGGCUCCGAGGCGGGCGGGCAGUCAGCCGCCGCGCCGGCCGCCCCGCGCCCCGCCCCCUCGGGUGCACGAAUCUUUGCCGGGCGCGACCGCGAGCCCCGGGAACGCCCGUGGCCGUAGCUGUGGAGGGCUCGGGGCCCCUUGCCUGUGCCCUCGCUCGCCCCGGCCGACUGGGUGGCAGAGGCCCGCCAUGGGCCAGACAGCAGAUCCAAGUGCUUCGGAGUGUCUCCUUGAGGUGUCACUCCGUGGUCCGCGUUUUGCAGAUGAGAAAACUGAAGCACAAAGAGCUUAAGACACUUACCCGAGGUCGCUCAGCUGGAAAGAGGAGGGGGUGGGAUUCGAACCCCUGCGCUCAGGCACACAGCGAAGCGAAGCUCUUGCAUUAA